rnacentral:rRNA from 1 species
UACGGAGGGGGCUAGCGUUGUUCGGAAUUACUGGGCGUAAAGCGCGCGUAGGCGGCUUUGUAAGUUAGAGGUGAAAGCCCGGGGCUCAACUCCGGAAUUGCCUUUAAGACUGCAUCGCUAGAAUUGUGGAGAGGUAAGUGGAAUUCCGAGUGUAGAGGUGAAAUUCGUAGAUAUUCGCAAGAACACCAGUGGCGAAGGCGGCUCACUGGCCCGGUACUGACGCUGAGGUGCGAAAGCGUGGGGAGCAAACAGG